CACGUAGGGCGCAAGCGUUGUCCGGAAUUAUUGGGCGUAAAGAGCUCGUAGGCGGUCUGUUGCGUCUGCUGUGAAAACUCGGGGCUUAACCCCGAGCCUGCAGUGGAUACGGGCAGACUAGAGGUAGGUAGGGGAGAAUGGAAUUCCCGGUGUAGCGGUGAAAUGCGCAGAUAUCGGGAGGAACACCGGUGGCGAAGGCGGCAUACUGGGCCACUUCUGACGCUGAUGCGCGAAAGCCAGGGGAGCGAACGGG
rnacentral:rRNA from 1 species